AAACGCUGUCAAAGACAUCGAAACAAGUUAAGAGUUUGGGACAUUAGUUAUGUGUUUUCCUUAUGGGCCUUGAAAGAAGGAAGAGGAAGGUGAUUCCCAUUGUAACUAAUAUGCUACUUUGCAUAUUACUGUCAAACCUGCCAGGUCACAGUUUAAUGUGCUUAACAACUUCAUGUUCUCAAUCAUAAGAGGUAACAUCCUGUCACCAAGCUUGAGUAUCUGUUCUCUUUCGAUAUGGAAAGAUUCAAAUUAAUGGUGGGUGAGUUGACUCGCAUGAAACUGGCUGCCUAGCAAGACUGGAAUGUAUAAAAGUGCUGUUUACCUCAAACGAUACGUCCUCGGAGACAAUUUACCAUACUACAAAGAUCAAGAAAAUGGAAGAUGAACGUAGAGGAGAAAAGUUAAACCUCAGAGAAAUUAAGUAUGCCCUGGACUCUAAGGCAUCUUGCUAAUAAUUGACAGGGCUGACAUUUGACUCUUGGUCUGACACGAGAGCCAAUAUACUUUGAAAUAUGUCACAGAUCCUCACAUUGCAGACUCAUCUGGGCCAAGGUAAUCCCCGUAAAAGAGAACACAAAGCUGGGCCACCGGCCAUGGUUGCCUGAGGAUAUAGACCUUUGGUCGGACAAGGGUUACAGGUUCGUAACAAACUGAGACACACACACACAGGACUCGAAGGAAGGAUCAGAAGGAAAGUCGAAUUGCUGUGGAGCUGGAUUGAGAACAAUAUUUGGACCCUGAAGGGGCUUACCAAUACACGGCCUCAUGGUGUGCACUGACUUUCCAGAUCUGUCUGUCACAGGCCCCUGCCCUGACCAGCAGAAACUUCCCAGGAACUUCGACAGAUGGAGAAGAGAACUUCCACCCCUUGGCAAGGCCUCAGUUUCAAGCAUCUCAAAAACUGAGAAUCACCAUCAAAUGGGAGGCUCUAAAGGACAAAUACUGCUUGGUGGCCAAUCACAUGGACAGCUCCCCUGCCCAGCUUCUGGCUUCAAGGGAUCCAUACCACGUGAUCUUUAUUUUACAGGCAGCUUAGAACUGGAAACAAUCUGACAAUUCUCUCGAUGACAAGUCUAGUGCUUAGUGGCAGAUUUUGUCAUAUAUACGUGAACCCCAAUUGUUUACUCAAUUCUUCAAGAAUCCAAAUAUUGCAUUUAAUUUUCUAUCCCACAGCAUGGUCAGAAAUGCAAUCGGUUUUGCAACUUUCACAUCUACCAUACCAAAAAGUACUUUGAACAACGUUUAUGGGUCUCUCCCACAAACGCCAAUGGAAAAUUAUUGCCAGCAAGAGGCUUACCUCCUGGCUACCAUCUGCCCUGUUUGAAACAUUUCAAUCUCGGAUUGCAGGGGUUUUUUACAACUCGCUUCAGGGCUUUGGGGAAGACACUCUGCUUUGCCAACAGCAGGCUCCACUCUCUUUCCUGAAGUCUGUACCGCUUGUGAGCUGUUGGUAUUUCUUCAGGACCAUCGGCACAGGCACAGAGUGAUCGGAGGAUUGAGUCUUCAUGCCUGGUUAAAGAGAGAGAUUGGAAAGAGUGUUUAGCUGAUCAGAAAGGAAAUCUCUAACCCUUGCUACCCAGAACUGAACCGGUAUAAACUGGCACAUUCAAAAGAAGCUACUGGGUUUACUUAACAUUCCACUUGGUUCCCUGUUGAGAGUUCAAAGCAUGCUAUUGCUUAGUCCAGAGAAAACUAGUAAAUAGCGGGGUGUCGAAUAUUAUAUGAUAUAUAGCUUUUUUUGUAAUAGUAUUUACACAGAACCUGUCAGCAUAUUAACACAAGGCAUUUUCACAGUAAGCUAUUUUAGAAGCGUACAGGAGAAUGAAUAUGUAAUUUUGAUUU